rnacentral:lncRNA from 1 species
GAAGGGCCGAAGCAGGCCCUACGGCUUCCACGGGAGUCGGACAGGAGAGGAAGGGGAAAGCGGAGCGGGAGCCGGCGUGCGGGCUGCGGGAGCGAGAAGCAGCGGCAGGGAACGCGCACGGGCUGUGUAGGUGCCCUUCUGGCCUGAGAGGCAGCCGCAGGCACGUUGAGUUGAGAAGCCAGGUGUGAAUUACGGCGGGGGAGAGGAGUAGUGAGGCAGGUUGCCAUGGCUCGGCUGAUGGAAGGUGGAAUGAGAAGAGUAUGAGCUGCAAGAAGGCUGCACCACUCACCAGGGUACCAGAGGUCUUUCAAGAGUCAUUUGCGGUGUUUCAGUUCAGCAAGUUUGAACUGUAUUUUCCUCCUUUCUG